UAUUAAGAAUUCCAUCCAUUUCUAUUGUUUAAAACUGGCGUGACUAGUAGAAUAAUCAAACAAUUAUACGUGGCGUAUCACGUGUACCUCAUGCUAACGUAUAGGGACCAGUUUUUAACAGUGAAAAUGAUAGAAGAAUUAGUU
rfam:Gossypium hirsutum cultivar TM-1 unplaced genomic scaffold scaffold683.1, whole genome shotgun sequence